CAAGGAUGAACCAAAGGAUGAGCAUUUUUUUUUCUUUGUUUUUUUCUUUCUAGUUUCGGCUAAAUGAAGAUGAGAAAGGAUGAACAAAAAUUUUCUCCUUUCUUUUCUUUAGCUCACGGCAAUGGGGGGGGGGAAACAACUACACACAUUUUUUUUUUGUAUUCAUCAUACUCUUUUUUAUUAUUUUAUGCCCAUGCCCCUUAUUUUAAUUUUUUCCUACAUACCUCACUAGGCCAACAUGUUCCCAACAUGUUUCCACCCAUAGCAUGGCCAACCACUAGCUCAAAUUUUGG
rnacentral:lncRNA from 1 species